AUGAAUGAUUUAGUGAGGUCUUCGGACUGGCGCUCGGAUUGGCCUCCGGGUCGAGCCGAGUGCCGGAAAGAUGACCAAACUUGAUCAUUUAGAAGAAAUAAAAGUCGUAACAAGGUCUCCGUAGGUGAACCUGCGGAGGGAUCAUUACCGA
rnacentral:rRNA from 2 species